CAUCUCCAAACGGCAAGUCUUGUGGGGUGUUCCCGGUACGCAGCGGUUAGUAAAUACCAAAAGUGGUUCAAGGAAGGACAACUGGCAUCAAGGUCAUGGGCGCCAAAGGCUCAUUGAUGCAUGUGGAGGGAAGGUUAGUUCGUCUGGUCCGAUCACAAAGAAGGGAUACUGUAGCUCAGAUUGCUAAAAACGUAAUACUGGCCAUGAUAGAAAAGGUGUCAGAACACACAGUGCA